UGAGGGGAAGCUCUCAGGAGGUGCCCACCGAGCUGAGCCGGGUGUGAGGGGAAGUCCUAGGGAGGUGGCCGCCGAGUCCGGCGUGAGGGGACUCCUGGGUAGGUGCCCGCUGAGCCGGGCGUAAGGGGAAGCCCUCGGGAGGUGCCCGCUGAGCCGAGCCGGGUGUGAGGGGAAGCCCUCGGGAGGUGCCCGCCGAGCCGAGCGGGGUGUGAGGGGAAGCCCUCGGGAGGUGCCCGCCGAGCCGAGCCGGGUGUGAGGGGAAGCCCUCGGGAGGUGCCCGCUGAGCCGGCGCCGAGUCCUGAGGGAGCCCGGAGCCGUGAGGCGGGGUCUGUCCGCAGCAAAGUAAUUCUGGCCAAAGCGGCCAACAGCCCGGCCAAAGCUGUACAAAGCUCGGCAGGUGCUUAGAGAAAUAUCCAGCCCCACACUGGAAACAUGUGAAGUUGAAAUGUGCAGGGGGGCUACAGAAAUGGACUUUCAAUUGCCUUGACUAUUUCCCUUGAGAACAAAACAUAAAAGUACAGCUGAAAGUCAAUGAGAAAUCCUCUUGCCUCACAAAUGUAUGCUCAGAGCAAGGCAUUCACAUAUCAAGAUAUUAUCACGAAUAAUACCCUGGAAUUCAUCCUUGGAAAGAUGACUUGGAAGUAGUCCUUGCAGAAACCUUCAUGAUACAGCUCUCCAUUUCAAGGGCAGAAAGAACUUCAAGCAGCAGCUCACUAGUAUGAAAGACAAAUCUGAGUGAGAAGCAUGGCUCCCUGAGGAGGAGAAAACCCUUCAUCCAGUUGUCCUGCCUUAUAUGUAAGAAAAGCCACUGUUCAUAAAAAGGAGUGAGGAAAUGCCAGCAUUUCUAGCAACUGAGAGGUGCUCAAUAACAAAAAGAAGAAAACCCCAAGCAAACAGGAUAUUUGGAAAAAGACUAUUCCUGUUACACUGCUGGUAACAAUCUUUGAAGCAACUAACAGAGAAGGAGCUGAAAGAUCCCUGUCACAUACUGAGAUGUUAAACCUGAUUGUACAUCCCAUGAAGAAAAAUAAGCAGGAAAUUUUGUGUUCCAAGGCACAUAAAGCUCGCUUGUUCCCAUGCAUGCAACAUUUUUUCACUAAAGCAAGGACCACAUCACCAGGCAUGGGGUUGAAUGUACAAACUAAAUUAAUAGCAUAACUUCACCAUCUGAUAAAGCCUGCAAGUCUUCAUCUCCUGACCACCCAGCUGAGGGAGAUGCAAAAUACUCGGCCAGACAGAACAUGUGCACAGCCUUUAUAGGAAGAAAUGAAAGAAAUUUUUAUGAAAACAGCAUUUCUGGUGUGGAAGAGGAGCCUGCCUGCUGCUCCUGCUCUACCUGCCCAUGAAGGGCUGGAUUGGGCCUGCUCCCACAACUACCAGUGAGCAUUUUCAGAAUUAGGGUAUCCUCUUCUCCCCUUUUCUGAGAAAGGUGCUUGCUGGGGAAUUGCAGUUUUGCCUCACUCUUUCUCCCUGAUCUGCCACAAGUCUUGGUGACAGGCUGGAAUAAUGUCAGUUGUCCUGAUAAUAAGAAACGCUGAUUUCCUCACCACUGUGAAGUAAAACAAUAAGUUGCUUUAUGAUAAUAUUUGCCUCAAACCACACUUAGACAAAGCUCUGAAUUCCCCCUGAGAGGCUAAACUGAGCUCCAUGGGUUAUUUAUAGAUCCUCUGCUGGCUGGUGAUAAUGAUCCUCCUCAGGCUUAAGUCACAGGCAGAAUAAUCCCCUGAAUUGGAGACCUUUUAUUAAUUGUUCCUGUAAUUUUGCUUUGUGGGAGGAGAGCUACGUCCUACCUGCGUGCUGGAUGCUAUUAACAAAACACCUCAAAGAGCAUAUUGUACUGUUCCAGAGGAGCCUUACCUCAGAGAACAGGGCCCUGCAGUACCUUGGCUCAGCCUCCCAAGAAACUGCACAAGCUUUAUCCUGAGAAGGGUAAAAUUCUCAGGCUUUAUCCUGAGAACUUGCUUACUGAGGCCUCCUUCCCAUGCCCACAGCA